GGUACUUAACAAGCAAAAAUCUAGAAAUUUCAUAUUUCCAGAUUAGAACCAAGUCAAUGGGCCUUCUUUAAAAAAUCAUAUCUCCCAUUACAAAAGGCCACUGGGAACUCCAAGGAUCAAUCCAAAAACUAGGGAGAGAGUGUAACACUCUCCAGUUGAAUUUACCCCAAGAAGAUUCAUGGUUUAGGAGAUAUUAACAUCCAAAGUUUAGUGCACAAAAAGAGUUCAAGUUCGGCAGAUUAAAAGUUUAAA
rnacentral:lncRNA from 1 species